UUUGCAUUCCCAAACUCCUCCCUGCUGUUCAAAAUCUUCAUUAAAAGCUCUGUCCUGUGGGGGAAUGAAUCAGCACUGGACAGAGCUCAGUGUGAAGAUGGCAUCCCUCACUCAGGUCCUCUGCCUCCUGCUUUUCUGGCUAGCAGGUUCCCAAGGGGAAGUUGUUCUGACUCAGUCUCCAGCCUCUGUGUCUGUGUCUCUGGGAGAGAGAGUCACCAUCAAGUGCAAGGCCAGUCAGAGCCUCUUACACAGUAGUGGGAACACUUACCUACACUGGUUCCAACAGAAACCAGGAAAAUCUAAUAAACGCAUGAUUUACCAAGUUUCCAAUUUAGACUCUGGGGUUCCCUCUCGGUUCAGUGGCAGUGGGUCUGGGACGGAUUUCACCCUCACAAUCAGCAGUCUGGAGCCUGAGGAUGUUGCCAUGUAUUACUGUUAUCAACACUCUCACUCACCGGUCUCACUGUGCUUCAGCCCUGAACAAAAUCCUCCCCAUAUCAUUCAGUCCUGACUCUGGGGAAAAACUGCUUUCCCCUGAGGCCUAGGCUCACAGCAGCUGCUAUCUAACAUAAAGAUGAGGCUUAGCUUAGUCUGUCUUUUAGAAUCCCUAUGUUCAGUCUCUAUUAUGUACCCCAUUCUCAAGAGGGGCCAUCAAAUUAAGUUUCAUGGUCUCCUACAAGGAAUGAAGUUUUUUCAAAAUGUAGAAAUUUGAUAGAAGAUAUAAAAACCAUGUGAGGACAUUACAAGGUAUAUUUAUAUAUAAAUAUAUGUAGAUAAGUAUAACUAUAUCUGUAAUUUUGUGAUAUAUAAUGAUUCAUGCACACACACAUUUUUGCUGCUUGCUUCAGUUUACUACAAUCUGAUUUGCUACUGAAGUUGUAGGUAGUCUAUGAAUAUUGUAAACUUUGCAGCUAGGAUGACCAUGGAAAGUAACUUUCUCUCUCAUCCCAAGUUUCCCUAUUGAUAAAUCUCAGGAGAUAAUAAUAAUUUUCUCAUGGUACUCUUAUGAGGAUCAAAAAAGCUAACAAGUAAAUUCAUUUGCAAAGCUUAAAGUACUUUACAAAUGUUAUUAUUUCCCUUAAGAUAUCUUCGGUGAGCCCCCAAAAUAAGAGCUUAUGUUGUAAUCCUUUUUUUCCACCACAAAAGGAUUUAUUAAUCUUUCAAAUAUUAAAUAUAAAAUAAUGUCCAAUGACGUGCGGGAUAACUGUUUCUGAUUGAAUUCCUUAAAAGAAGAUAAGAAAAAUGAGGCAAUGAAAACUAAGAAUAAUCAUUCUUGUUGUGAUAGGACAUUUUAUUUUCCAAAGCAAUCUUAUCUCAAAAUCAUCUUGCCUAUGGAUGACUCAGUUAUUUCCAUCUUAUUUUACAGAUCAAGAAACUGAGUUUUAUCAAGAUUGAUUUGCCUAA